GCAUUUAACUGCUGCCUGGCUCCCUGCUCAGGUGUCUCCUCCCUGGCGUGGCCCCUGCCAGAGACAACGCCCUGAGCCCUAGAAAGGUCUGCAGCCCGCCUCCCCGGGACUAAAAAUAGGUGAGCAAAGAAGCUGGGACACGGGGAUCAAUGUUCGCCGAGGGCCCCAGGAAAGCCAGCUGUAUCAAGUUCAGACUUCCUCCCAGCCAAGCCACAGGGUCGUGAGAGUCUUCCCAUCUUGGCUUCUGGAGCUGGGAGAGAAGGGGAGGCGGUGGAGAGGCAGGAUGUGGUGCGGGGCUGUGUGCUGCCUGGGGGCCAGCGCUCCAGCCAAAAGCCUCCUUUGGACUCUUUGAACAAUGCUAACCAGUUUAAAAAAAGAGAGUGUGUGGACACACACAGCCCCAAAUAGCUCUUUGCUUUCGUCCCUCCUUCAGUGGAAACAGGGAUUCUUUAGCGGGCAGCCAGCUCUUGGUUUGUGGCGGGGGAGGGGGGUCCUCCUGAGUACUGACAGCCAUCAGCAAGCCUGGGAAAAACACAACAGGUACCCUGAUGAGGCCACAUGCGUCCGAGGGUUGUGGACAUGAGGGAUGGAGGAAACCCCGAGCAGCGACUUCUCAGUGGUGAUUUGCAAAGAACCCGGCCAGGCCCAGCAUGGGAUCAUCGCUGGCAUCCCUUUUCAGACCCCUCCCUGCUACCCUCUCUUCCCUCUGCCAUUCCAGUAACAGAGCCCACCCGCUGAUGCGGGGGCGGGGUGGGGGGGCGACCGUUCCCUUCAGGGGACAGGGUUCCUAGGGAUUGGAACUGUAGUAGGUGUCAGUCCUGAUCCAAUGUGUCCAAGAACAGGAGAGACACUUCUCCUCCAGAAGAAAAGAAGCCAAAAGCCACUCCCAGGAAGAUACAGCAAUAUAGCCCCCCUGUAUCCCCAAGGAACCACUUCAGGGGGCUUCCAUUAGCAGGUGGAUGAGCUAUUUUCCCCCGAGUGUAUUAAACACGAGAUGCCUUGAGUACAUUUCGGGUGAGUCACACGGAGCGGAUGAGUUUUUUUAGACUCAGACAGGAAUCGUUACCAAAAUACCUAAUGCUGCACUCUAUCGUCAUCUUGGGACGUGUACAUUUAGAAAUAGGCUCUACCUUUUUGCUUUUUGUUUAUUUAUGUUUUUGAUUUACCUUACACAAUGCACUUUAUUCUCUCCCCACUUUACCAAGAUGUAAUUGACGAGGCUCUACCCUUUAUAUAACCAUUGAGAAGGAGAGAUCUUCUCAAAUGCUUUGUUCUCUUGCUCUUUUGUGACCUGGAAAAGAGUCUUCCAAUACAUCCUCCUUGAUGGCUGGAGGAGAGGACUGGUGGGAAAAGAUGGGACAGGGAAUUCGUAUUUCCUGAGCGACCCACUGGAUUCCAGGUUGAUGAGGAGCCAGUGAAGCAGAAUUCUCACCUGGGCAGGGCUCCUCCAUCAGACUAGCAGGGGAAGCCUAGAGGCAGAACAGCCUGUGGUUACGACUGGAGCCUGGAGUCACCCGGCUGAGGUGCAUGGAGGAAAGGAGUUACCCACCCCCUGGGUUUAUAUGGACUUAAUGAGAGCCCAGGGGAGGCAGUCCAGCUCCUUCUCCAGGUACAUCGCUUCCAACCAAUGGAUCUGGAACCACCUUAGGUUAACUAAAUGCCGACUCAUCUGCAGAGAGAGGACUGGCACAACUGCAACCGCUGUCCAAGACCUCUGGCUGAGCUGAUGCACAUCUGGCACGGAAAAGAUACAGAGUGGCAAAUCAGUCUGCUUUUUGCUGGCCUAGGAAAUGGUCACUUAGUCUAUGCUCCCUUAGUGCUUUGGAACCCACAGUGUUAAAGCUUCCCAAAUUAGGGGGAAAAAAAAGCAAAAAACACAACUGAACUCAAUGGUUAUCAACCCACUGUGUGGAUCAGGCAAUUACUUGAUUCUUCUCCCUCUUCUUUCAAAGAGAUUUUCUGGUAGUUAUUCAAUUUAGUUCUAAAGACCUGAAGUGUUGUGUCACUGCCGAUGGGCAUUUUGACACAAGGGGCUUUGCUUCGAAAACAUUUUUAUUCAUUUCUCUUUUUCAUCUUUUCAUUUUUGGCCAGGCCCAGGGCAUGUAGAAGUUCCUGGCCCAGGAAUUGAACCCGAGCCAAAUCAGUGACAAUGCUGGAUCCUUCUUCACCAACUGAGCCACCAGGGAACUCCUCAAAAACAUUUUUAGGAUUGCUGAAGAUCACCAAAGAUUUAAAGAGCAUGGGACACCCAUCAAGAGGUUCGUGUUCCUCUUAGGUCACAGGGAGGUUAGAUGACCUGUUUAAAACUGCCCAACAAAUCAGUGACAUGCAGGCAGAUGGGGGUGCCACUGGCCACACUCUCACGUGGAGGGAAGAUGCAGGAGCUGGGCAUUCUCUGCGCAUGUGUGUUUCAUUAGAAACAAAGGAAGUCAGGACUUUAUAGCUACUGGAGAAAAACGGUGAAACUUUCCUAGCUAAAAACUGAAAAUCCCUGUCAUCCAGCUCCAUGGGACUGAGCUUCUGGAAGGCUGGCCCGGUGGUAAACGUUUGUCACGUGGCUGUCCAGCUGGAGUGGUCACAGAGAGUGAGAGUUAUGGGACAGACAGUCCUGGGCAGCCAGAGGAGGAGUGGGGGAGCAGGACCCUGCCUUGUCCAUCUCUCCUGGAGCCUCCGGGAUGGUGGGACAGUCAUGGUCCUUUUGCUUUCUCUUCCUAAGGAGAAAACUGCACUGGAGUAUAUUUUUCUGAUCUGGAUGCAAAACCAAAACCCUGAGUCGCAGCAUUCUCCGUCCAGUGGAAAUGUGCUGAGACCUCAGAAAGGCUCAAUCCCCGGAGACCAUCUUCCUGACUUGUAAUUUGGUCAGUUUUCACCCAUUUUAGAAAGGAUCAGGGUGGUCCAGUUUCCUCUGGGAACUCUGGAGGUUGCCUGGUUUCGGUUUCCGGAGUUUUCUGCUGGCCUCGGCGUUCCAGGGAAACCGAACUUGCAGAGGAAGUGAGCGCCAGCCGUUCAACUGCAGAAGGCGGUUUCCCGCGGAGGAAAGGAAAACCUAAUUAGGAUCUCUCCCCCCUUCUUGACACCAGGUAGCUGGCCUGAGCACGGCCUGGGCAGAGAAGGAGCCUUUGAAAGUUUGCUCGCUAGUACACUGCGUAAGAAAGAUGCUUGACUUAAAAUUUCAAACCAUCGGCUAAUGAUGUAUACAUUUUUUAUAAGCGCCAUUCACUCUCCUGCCACUUCUUUGGGGUGUCAGAGCCGCUAAGCAUCAAGCAUUGCUUUCCCUAAGGGCCCGGGUCGGCUGGGACUGGGGUAGUCUGAGUCUCUGGUUGCUGCCUGCUUUAAAGCAGCCCUCUAAUUUGAAGUCUGCAAACGAGGUUUUCUCCCUUCAGAAAGAUGAUCCCAUACAAUUUGGUUGAAGAGCUCUGCACAUUUCACAGCGAGUGAGCGGAUGGGGGCCAUCCAAAAGGGAUGGAAAUUGCUCAAAUGAACAAUUUGCAUUUCCUCUCCUCCUGGGGGGAAAAUAAAUGCAAAAACAUCUGCUGUGAAAGUUAAAGUCUAAGCUCCAAUUCCUCCAACUUUCUCAGUCCUUGUUUUGAAUAGCAGAGCACUAACAAAAGGCAAGUGUCUUUUUUUUUUUUUUUUUAAUGCACACAGAGAGUCUGACAUCUAACAAAUGGUAUGUCCCCAGUGCAGAGAUUGAGAAUAUGAAAGUGAGAACAGACCAGUUAGCUAGCAGUCAAGUUAUGGAGGGUCCCCGUGACCAUGAACCUGACUGAGGAGUGUCAGUCAACGGGUAGCCAGGGUGGUCCUCUGGCCAGAGGACCCAUUAUCCCGCCCUCUGUGAAAACAGACAUCAAAAAGCACAGUUCCUCUCACUAAACAAACAGAAAUCUUUUCCCACAUUUCCGGCCCCAUCAAAUAUUUCCCCUUCCAAAGACAGGACAAUCUUUCCACUCUUCCUUCCUUCCCCCGCCACCUUCCUUCCUUCCUAGGGCCGCAACUGUGGCAUAUGGAAGUUCCCAGGCUAGGGGUCAAACAGUGCUUCAGCUGCCACUCUACACCACAGCCACAGCCACGGGGGAUCCAAGCCUCAUCUGCAACCUACACCACAGCUCAUGGCAAUGCCAGAUCCUUAACCCACUGAAUAAGGCCAGGGAUCAAACCCAUAUCACCACAGAGACCAUAUCAGGUUCUUAAACUGCUGAGCCACAAUGGGAACUCCCGUUGUGUGUAUCUUGAAGUCCAUCAGGAAGAAGACCUUUAGAGAUGCAGGUGGAGAGCCACCCCACCCCCCACCGAGGUCAUGAUAGUCAGCCAUCGCUGUCUCUUCCAUGGGAGACCAGGGAGCCCCCUCUGUGGUCAUUGGAUGGGAAUUUCUCCUCCCCAGUUGCAUGGCCAUGUGGGAAGAUCAGGCAACAUCGGGUCCAGAGCCCUGGAUCCAAUUAGGGCAGGUAUCUUAUCACCUGCCAAACACAAGUUGGUUUUCUUCUUUCCCUUCAGAGUUGCUUUUGCUAAUUUCAGUGAGCAUGGCAUCAAGGCCAAUCAGAAGAGAAUAAGAAUCAAGUCCAGGAAUAUGUGGGGCUAAAUAGAUAAAAGCUGUCGCUCAACAGAUCCCAGUGGAGCUCUUUCUGGCAGGAGACGCUUUCCAGCAUCAAAGCCACUUGGAACUUAUCUAUAGGAUGCUUUGACCUUUUAGCUGCUAGAGCUGCUUCAGUCUGAGUUGCAAAAGUACCCAAAGUUUUUCAGCCAUGACCUUGGCCUGGCUCUUCUUUUUUUCUCUUCUUCUGUCCCUGGAACUAGACUAUUCUCUGAAUGUAGUUUGGUUCCAUUGGCCAAGGAUGUUUGAAGCCAGAGCUGGGUUCAGAUUUGUCUCUCGUUCCAGCCUCAUUGCCCCUCAGGAUGAAGGAAUUCUGUGCAAAGAUCUUAUCAUUGUUGAUCUUGGCACAUUCUCUUGGCCUACAUGUGUGGGCCCCAGAUGGGCCCCCAGUGUGGCCAGCUGGCUGGAUGUCACCAGGGAACCCCUCUCAUCGCAGAGGGUCACUUCCUUUCUCAGGCUAUAGCCACAGGAGCUGUGUCGACUGGGGCUGGGAAAGUAGGCCAAACCAGAACCGGCUGGAGAGGGAAAUCAGGCAGAGUGUGUUUGGAGGUGUCUCUGAUCCACAGUGAGACACCUCAUUUCUACUGAGGGUGACUUUGGAAUGAUGUCUGUUUGCCUUCACUUACUGAAGGUCAAGUAGUGUAGUCCAAACCAUGUAAUUCACUGAAAUUCACACGGACCAACUGGCAUCCAAAUUUCUUUUCUAAGAAUCAACAUAUUUCUAUCUUGUGAUCUCAUCAUCAAAUAUUGCCAAGUAUGUGUGCCCACGGUGUGGAUACAGUGGGGCCAAAGCUGGGCUGCCAUCUGCAUGAAGACAUGUUCCUCAUAUGUCCUUCUCUGCCAGUUUGCUGCCUGAAACCCUCAAACAAAAAACAAAAAUUUUAAUUCCACCAUCUGAGCCAAGGACUCUGCCAACUAUAGAAGCUGCUCAUUGAAAGUGUCCCAUGAAGAUUUUUUUUUUCCUUUGUUCAGCUGCACCCAUGGCAAACAGAAGUUCCUGGACCAGGGAUUGAAUCUGAGCCACAGCUUUGACCUAUGCCACAGCUGCGGCAGUGGGAGAUCCUUAACCCAUUGCGCCAGGCUGGGGAUCGAACCAGCAACUCCAGAGACCAGCUGGAUCUUUAACUCACGGUGCCACAGUGGGAACUCCAUCCCGUGAAGAUCUGGAUGAUGUAGAUUCUUCUUUUUUUUUUUGGCCAUGCCUGUGGAAGUUCCGGGACCAGGGAUCCAACCUACACCACAGCCGAGACAAGGUUGGAUCCUUUAACUGCUAGGCCACCGGGGAACUCUGAUGAUGUACAGAUUUGUGCCUGAGGUUAAGCUCUGUAGGUAGCUGGCAGUGGGGAGGGGAAGGGUAGUCAAGAACAGGCGGUCCUUAGGGCCUUGAAAAAGGAAGAGCAUAUCUGGAAGGGGACCAAGAGGGCCACGCAGGGCAAGGAAGACAGGGUCACCCACACGGCACCCUGCCUGGUCUCUCAGGUAAUGAUCCUCCUGUCAUUAGCAUCACAGGCCUGCAGGCAAGGCCCCUUAUGGAUGAGAAGCUGCCUGUGUCCAGACCAAGGCCAACAGCACAUAAAAUGGCCUGGGUUCAGGUCACCCUGAACUGCAUUGACCACCCGGGCCCCCAGCAGAACUGUAAGUAACCAACUCCGUCGUGAGAUCCAUUCACCUGUAGACAGAGGGAUGCAGAUGUGGGUUUCCAAACCUUUGGUCAUGAUGUGCUUUCAAGGGCAGGGAUCCACAGGCCCAUGGCCAACCUGGGUCUCCAAACUGGGAAACUGAUAUUAAACCAGCAUCUGCUCUUGAUCCAACCACCUGGCCCUUUCCAUCAGGCCCUCCAAAAGGCCGAAAUAAUCUUUCACACAGUCCAGGAAGAGGAUUUUAUCAGGAAGAGGGCUGCAAGCAGACCAAAUGAAAUCUCCCCUCCUCCCGCCCUCUGCCUCACUUAGCCAGGCAAGCUCCUGGGCCAGUCUGUGUUCUCAUGGUAGCUCUGGUGGGAAGGAAACAAAGGACCUGUGUAACCUUUUCUCACAAUCAUGUCUUAGCCCUUUUGCUAAAAAAUACUGACAGGGCCCAUGGUGUGUAAGUGCAAUGGAAACUCAACCACUGAAAUGACUGGGGAUGUCCUUAGUCUGGUCAGAGAAACUUGGAUCCCAGCUAGUUGACCUUUCAUCUUGGAAAAAAAUAGGAGUUUCUAAAUACCCUGAAAUCACCAGUUAUAUUUAAAAUACUGUGCCUGGAUUUCCCAUUGUGGAGAAGCAGAAACGAAUCUGACUAGGAUCUAUGAGGAUGUGGGUUCGAUCCCUGCCCUUGCUUAAUGGGUCAGGGAUGCUGUGUUGCCGUGAGCUGUGGUGUAGGUUACAGACAUGGCUCAGAUCCUGUGUUGCUAUGAUUGUGGCGUAGGCCAGCAGGCGUAGCUCCAAUUUGACCCCUGGCCUGGGAACUUCCAUGUGCCACGGGUACAGCUCCAAAAAGCAAAAUAAAAAAAAAAAAAUAAAUAUUGUGCCUAUUCUAUUUAAAACAGCCAUGCCAUGUGUACAGCCCUAAAAAGCAAAAUAAUAAAUAAAUAAAAUAAAACAACAUAGUGUGCCUAUUCUAUUUAAAAUAG
ensembl:lncRNA